rnacentral:siRNA from 1 species
UUAGAUGACAUGGAAGUAGCUGAA